AUGUUAUUCCAGCCAAAUUCGCACAGCGGGGCCCCGACCUCCAUCCUGCCCCCCGACAAAGGCCGCUCCUGGGUCUCCUGGGACUGGCAGCUCCGGGCGAGGGCUGCAGCGUGCGUGGGGGAUGCGCCGCCAGCCGCCCCCCUGGGAUCCCGGCUGUCACCACCCCCCGCGGGGGCUGCUGUCAGCCUGGGGGGACAGGCAGGCAGCCUCUCGCUGCCGGUACCUGCUGCAGCGCUUUCCUUAAUGAUGAGUUCAGCUCGCCUGUCCCCCCAAUUAACUCCACCGCUCCAGCUCGUCAGGCUGCACUCCCGGAGCAGCGCCUCGGCGAAGGGCUGCGCGCGCCGCUCAGCACAGCCGCACGGGCACAGCAGCGGGCCCGGCGUUUUCUCCCACAGCCACCGCCGGUCGUUACGGAGCCGACGGGCGUCUGGAAGUUUGGAGGGAACGCGUCCGGGGCGCGUGGCGCUGGGAGCAGGGUGCAGGGCGCUGCUCCUGCGCCCGUCGCUGCCCCGGGGCCGGCAGGCAGCGCGGCCACGUCGCGCACAUCGAGCUGCCCGCCUGCCUCCUGGCCUCCGUCCGGGAGGGCAGCAGGUGACGGGAAAGCGAGACCCGGCCUGGACGGAGAUGAAAGGCGGCCUCGCAGCUGCGGACACCCGACGCCACCUGCCCCGGCGCGCGGGCGGGCCGGCAGCCGGGAUGUCCUUGUCCCCACGCGCUGCGCCCCGGCGGUGCCGUGCCAGCAGCUCCCUGCCCGCCGGGGAGCCCCCUGCUCCCCACGCCCCGGCGCAGAGCCCCCGGGGCCUCCUUCCAGAGAGAGGACAGGGCCCGGCUGUCCGUCCCAGCCGCCCGCCCGCCCCAUGCCAGCAGAUCCCCCGCACCCUCACCCACCCGAGGGUGCUCACCCCCCACAGCGGGCUCACUUGCGUGCCGUGCCACCGACCCUCCCCAGUCCCUAAGACCACCAGCCCAGGGAAUUUGCUUGUUUUUCCCAGCCUGUUGUCCCUCCCAGGUCGUGCCCACCCAUCUCUUGUGCUGCCAGCGUGGUACCCAGCCAGCUGUCCGUCCGUCCGCCUGUCCGUCCGCCCCCAGCAGUGCACACCCCCCUGCCUCCCUCCAGCCAAGCCAGAGGACGCCUGGGGCACGCUUGGGGGGCAGAGGGGCUCUGGGACACGGCCACUGGCCCUGCUGUCACCUGGAAGGGGUGACAAAACUUGUGCAAGCGUCCCUGCCCGGUGCCUCCUGGGGUCCCCACAUGUUUUUCAAGGCUGGAAGGGGGGAAAUAGCUGCCUGUCACCAACCGCCCUGUCGCCUCACCACCUCCCUCCCAGGGCGCCAAUAAAUACCCUGCCCCACACCUGCGUGGUUAUUAGCCUCCUCUCGCCCCGGGGAAGUUGUUCCUACUGUUUCCUUCCUGCCUCCGAGCCAGGUUUGCUUCCAAAACAGGUGUUUCCCCAGGGAUGCUGCAGGCACCCCCGCUGCGGUAUCCCAGGCCAAUGUCUCCCGGCCUGCCCUCAGCCCCGGGGGAGCUGCAAGAAGGUGCUCGGUCUUUGGGGGAAGAGCCUCGGCUGGUUAUUAACUGCCCCCCAAGGAGUUCUCCCACCUCGAGUCUCUGCAAAGCUCACGUUGGUGGUGGGGAAAAAAAUAAAAUAA
rnacentral:lncRNA from 1 species